GACGAACGCUGGCGGCGUGCUUAACACAUGCAAGUCGAACAGAAAGGCCCUGCUUUUGUGGGGUGCUCGAGUGGCGAACGGGUGAGUAACACGUGAGUAACCUGCCCUUGACUUUGGGAUAACUUCAGGAAACUGGGGCUAAUACCGGAUAGGAGCUCCUGCUGCAUGGUGGGGGUUGGAAAGUUUCGGCGGUUGGGGAUGGACUCGCGGCUUAUCAGCUUGUUGGUGGGGUAGUGGCUUACCAAGGCUUUGACGGGUAGCCGGCCUGAGAGGGUGACCGGCCACAUUGGGACUGAGAUACGGCCCAGACUCCUACGGGAGGCAGCAGUGGGGAAUAUUGCACAAUGGGCGGAAGCCUGAUGCAGCAACGCCGCGUGCGGGAUGACGGCCUUCGGGUUGUAAACCGCUUUCGCCUGUGACGAAGCGUAAGUGACGGUAAUGGGUAAAGAAGCACCGGCUAACUACGUG
rnacentral:rRNA from 1 species